GUGUUGCUGCACCUGCUGCUGUCUCAGUUCCAGAGGGGAAAUCUGCAAAGAAGGGGAAGAGAAAUGCAGAAGAUGAGAUUGAGAAGGCCGUGAGUGCAAAGAAG